rnacentral:rRNA from 1 species
UGGGUAACCUGCCUCAAAGAGGGGAAUAGCCUCCCGAAAGGGAGAUUAAUACCGCAUAAUAUGUUUUAGUCGCAUGACUUAAACAUCAAAGGAUUUUCUUUUAGAACUUCCACUUUGAGAUGGACCCGCGGCGCAUUAGCUAGUUGGUGAGGUAACGGCUCACCAAGGCAACGAUGCGUAGCCGACCUGAGAGGGUNAUCGGCCACAUUGGAACUGAGACACGGUCCAGACCUCCGUAGGAGG